rnacentral:rRNA from 1 species
UACAGGUCGCAAGACGUAAGCGAUGGAUAACAGGUUUAGAUUCCUGUACCAUGCAUUAUCAGAACUGUAGGGACGCAUGUGGAAAGCACGAGCCGGGAAUGGAAAGACCGGUACAAGCGGGGUAGGUGUACAAUAGGCAAAUCCGUUGUAUGAUCCGAAGACGUGAUGUGGAGCGAAAUAAAGUAGUGAAGCGUGUGAGCCAUGUGCCGAGAAAAGCUGCUAUUGUGUAAUGCGUGCCCGUACCGUAAACCGACACAGGUGGAUGAGGAGAGAAUCCUAAGGCCGACGGAAGAAGCAUUGUUAAGGAAUUCGGCAAAAUGACCCCGUAACUUCGGGAGAAGGGGUGCCUGCGAGAGCAGGCCGCAGAGAAUAGGCUCAAGCAACUGUUUAGCAAAAACACAGGUCUAUGCGAAACCGAAAGGUGAAGUAUAUGGGCUGACGCCUGCCCGGUGCUGGAAGGUUAAGAGGAGAGGUUAGCGUAAGCGAAGCUUUGAAUUUAAGCCCCAGUAAACGGCGGCCGUAACGAUAACGGUCCUAAGGUAGCGAAAUUCCUUGUCGGGUAAGUUCCGACCCGCACGAAAGGCGUAAUGAUUUGAGCACUGUCUCGACAAUGCAUCCGGUGAAAUUGAAGUACCAGUGAAGAUGCUGGUUACCCGCGCCAGGACGGAAGGACCCCAUGGAGCUUUACUCCAGUUUGAUACUGGGAUUCGGUACUGCAUGUACAGGAUAGGUGGGAGACGAAGAAGGAUGGACGCCAGUCUGUCCGGAGUCGCUGUUGGGAUACCACCCCUGUAGUACUGGGUUUCUAACCAGUUGCCAUGAACUGGCAAUGGGACAAUGUCAGGCGGGGAGUUUGACUGGGGCGGUCGCCUCCGAAAGGGUAUCGGAGGCGCUCAAAGGUUCCCUCAGAAUGGUUGGAAACCAUUUGAAGAGUGCAAAGGCAGAAGGGAGCUUGACUGCGACACCGACGGGUGGAGCAGGUACGAAAGUAGGACUUAGUGAUCCGGUGGUAUAAAGUGGGAUUGCCAUCGCUCAACGGAUAAAAGCUACCCUGGGAUAACAGGCUUAUCACUCCCAAGAGUUCACAUCGACGGAGUGGUUUGGCACCUCGAUGUCGGCUCAUCGCAUCCUGGGGCUGUAGCAGGUCCCAAGGGUUGGGCUGUUCGCCCAUUAAAGCGGUACGCGAGCUGGGUUCAGAACGUCGUGAGACAGUUCGGUCCCUAUCCGGCGCGGGCGGAGGAUAUUUGAGAGGAGCUGUCCUUAGUACGAGAGGACCGGGAUGGACGGACCACUGGUGUAUCUGUUGUCGACCAACGGCAUGGCAGAGUAGCCAAGUCUGGAAGGGAUAAACGCUGAAGGCAUCUAAGCGUGAAGCCCCCCUCAAGAUGAGAUAUCCCUCCUUCGGGAGUAAGACCCCUUGAAGACUACAAGGUAGAUAGGGCAGAGGUGGAAGCAUGGCAACAUGUGGAGCUGACUGUUACUAAUAGGUCGAGGGCUUAAU